rnacentral:lncRNA from 1 species
CACUAAACAGGAAACCACUCAGCUUCAUUUUUUGUUCGGUAGCUGCUACAAGAGAUAAGACAAAAAAGAGCAGAAGAUAUAGGACAGCUCUAAGUACAGGGGGGGAGUUUGGAGCCCAAAGAUUUAGAGCUGAUAUUUUGCUAACCCUGAGCGUUUCCUAGAGUAGCUGCUCAGAUAUUAGGGUGAUGGGCUGUGUGUAAAUUUAUUCCUAAUCCUGGCUACAUCUAUAUUCAAAAACAUAGUUAUUUUCCUGUUUUUUAAUAGUUGGUAGGUGCUCAAAUACCACAAUGAUGGAUCCAUAUAAGUACUGGGACAGGUAAAUAGAUCUGAGGUACAAAGGGUGAGGAGGGAUGAGGGUGACAGACAGAGCCAUCAUUCCAACAGUGAAGGGAGAGAUCCGUGCAUAUGGAUCCUCUGUGCUCACAUCUUGGUGGUUCAUUGGGGCGCAUGCUAAGUCACUGGAUCAGUACAGAUUCAGAAGGCAGGGUACCAUCUACUGAAUCACUAAUACAGGACUUAUACUAUUUACCUACAAGGCUUAAUUAAUUCGUAUUUGUAAAAUGCUUUUAGAUUCUUGCAUAGGAAAGAUGGGGUCCUAUGUAACUGCAACAUAUUUCUGGCAAUAGAACCAAGACAAAGAGGCCCCAAAAUCAUCAAAUUUCCUACAGUUACCAAAAAUGUUUUCUCACUUAAAUGAUUAGCAGUCCCCUCAUUCUGUUAUGCUAAUCCUUCAAUGAGGUUUUGAUAAACUUGCUAAUAUUUUGGUGAAUGCAUUUGUUCUCUUUUACUUAUUUAGAUCUUGGCCAAACAUGAAGGCAGCAAGUAAACUGGAGUUAAACCACAGAGAAGGCAAGAGCAGAAAUAUUCCUGGAAAAACAUCUAAUUUUGAUAAACAUUUUGCAAAAGUGGGUGAGGAUGAAUCAGAACAUUCACACGAUGUACCUGAUGAAGAACGGUAUCCCUAUCAUACUGUAAAAACUUCCAGCUUGGAGGCAAUGCAUGCUCUGAAAAUUUUGCCUGCCAAACCUAUAAAAGAAUCUGAGUAUGCAGAUCAACGGUAUUUAGGAGAUUCAGCUCCCAUUUCUAGAAACACUAAAUCCUCUAUCAUCACCCAGCCAAAGUCCUCUGACUCCCCUCGAGACUUAGGUCAAUGCAGAUAUGUUUCAGAGGAGAGCAGAGUCCCAGAUGUUAAAGGUCCUGCUGUAAAACGAAGCAUGAAGCCAAACAUACUUUUUACUGAAAUCACAAGUAAGCCAGCAGUAUACUAAAUAAAGUUUGCAAAAGAGAAAAGAAAAAAAGUUUAACUACCCUUUAAGAGCAAACACUGAUGUAGCUCAAGCGAAAACCAAAUGAAUGCAAUGACACAGAACUUGUCUGUGGGCCUGAUCCAAAACUAAUUGAAGUUGAUUUAAGUCAGUGGGAGUCUCUCUGUCUGCUUUGGAACAGCCCUCACUUUCCUCCAAUUGCCACAAUGAUUUAGGACCUAAUUCCUCAAAGUACUUAAAUAUGUGUCUAUCUUUAAAUAUGUGCAGGUUGUUGUAGCUGUGUUGGUCCUAGGAUAUGAGAAACAAAGUAGAUGAGGUAGUAUCUUUUAUUGGGCUAACUUCUGUUGGUGAAAGGUACAAACUUUUAAGCCAUGCCAUGCAGUCAAAUGAGAAACGUGCAGUGGGACUGUCACAGACUGAUUUCAUACUUUAAAGAGCCCUCAUCUUUCAACCCUGAUUUGGGGAUCAAAGGAAGAUUUAAAAAUUCUCUGGCUUAAUUAGACGUAUUUUGCCCUAGGGAGGGCAUGCUUGAUAGCUCUAUGGCAAGACUUUGGUUGUACAUUGGGCCAUGCAAUCUAAUGACAAACAUGCAAUGGCAAUAUCAUAGAGUGAUUUUAUACAUUAAAGUGCCUUCAUCCUUCAUCUCUGACUUGGGUAUCAAAAGAAAUCUACAAACUCUACAGGAAAUGUUGAAAGCAAACUGAAAUAGGUGAGGUUUGAUUUAGUGGUUUAUAUCUUUGCAAGUUUUGUAGUGGUGUGAAACCUCUUUAUUUUGUAGCCAAAAAUUUCCUCCUCUUCUCAUUUAUUAUUACUGCGGAACUGUGGCAGCAUGAUCUUCACUGUACCCUCUUGUGGCAGUGCAGCUGAGGCUCUACCUCUGAUUCCCCAAAUUCACAUUCUUCCCUUAUUUUAAGGGUCAGUCAAAAUGCCUGCAUUCUCGACCAUUUGAGAUAAGCUCACUGUCUUGGAGUACAGUUACAGCCACUCUGCCUCUCUCACAUCC